UUUCCCUUCCCUCUUCGAUCAACACCGCCACUCGCCAAGAGACGACCCGCCCUAGCCGAAGUUCUGCCGCCAUCGGCAUCUGAUUCGUCGCUGUCAGCGACAAAGCGAUCGACGCAAUGCCGUGUAUUCCCACGUUGAAGGUGAGAGUUGCUUAUGUUUUUUUUUUUUUUUUUUUUGAGCAAUUUUGGCAGGAUGUGAUCUUCUCCCGUCCGGUGGCCGCCACCUCCCCAAGCAGCCAAAGCACUAGCGUCGCCACCGCCGCUGCGAUCCCAGCAACCAAUACCGCAUCCAUGGCUGCUGCGCUCACUCGCCCGCCGGCUGGCACGGUCCAGUGAUUCGGCCGAAAGAAGACAACGGUUGUCGUGGCCUACACCAAGUUGGGGUGCGAUCUGAUCAAGGUGAAUGGCAUCCCCAUCGAGCUGAUCCAACCCGAGAUGCUCCACAUCAAGGCCUUCGAGCCCAUCAUGCUCACCGGCCGCCAGCACCCAUCCCUUCGGAGUGGACAUGGCGCGUAGGCUUGGGCAUUGUGAGAACUGGAAGCUUUAAUGGACCUGAUAUGGUCAGUGCAUGGCUGGGAAUGAAUUAAUGGAGUUUUACAUAGAUUCAAGCAAUAGCAGUUAAAAUAAUUUGGAGUUUUUGGACCAGGUUCCAACACUGUACUGCUUGCCGAACAAAUCAAAUUUGAAUCAGGCAAACAGAGGAUGUGGUAAUGAUAGUAAAUGAAAAGUUGCAGAUCUAGGAGGAGCCAAUGGUUUGAUUCUAUGCUUUGACAGUGUGCACUUUUUACCAUAUCAUGAUGAAUCAUGUGAGACUUAUUUUGUACUUACAUCAAUUUUAAUCUUGUUUGAUUAGAGUACAAAUGUUAACAAUUCUCAUCUUGUGAAAA